CUCUGAAAGAGAGGGGAGAGGACUGAAUGCAAGUCUUUUGGAAAGGGAAUUUCUCCGGCCGCUACCCUCACACUAUCCGAACUCUCUUCACCCUUAUGCAAAUUGAUUAGUUGAGGUCUGCAAGUAAUCGAACGGCAUCUUGUGUGGGUUCCGCAAUUGGCAUGAGAUGACCUCUAUAUGGGGACUUAUGAUAUGUGCUGCGCUUUCUGGUGGACAAUAAGGACUGUUUGAAGGACUUAUCAUAAGAGAUGACCUCUAAAUGGUUUCACCUCAAAUGAGCCUCUGGAAACCUGAUGCAUCAAAGUUUCAAGUGAUCAGUAAGAUGGUUAUUAAGAGUAUGGAAUAUUUCUAGAGUGUGGAGAUCUGAACUAGUAGUGGUACUUAUGUUUUUCUCUCACAGGGUAGCAUGAUGUCUGGGAAAUUCAUAUUGGUUGUAGCGUAAAAUGAGAAAUCCCCUUUUUUAGCACUAAUGCACUUAGGUGAUGAGAAAGGGAUAUGUAAUUUACUUGUCAGCUGUAAUUACUUGAGAUCAGUCCUUAUGAAUCAAAGUUAAAUUACUUGAAUAA